GCCGAGGUGGCGAAAUGGUAGACGCAUUAGCUUUAGGAGCUAGCGGGGCAACCCAUGGAGGUUCAAGUCCUCUCCUCGGCA
rnacentral:tRNA from 1 species